GUUCAUAUAACAUUGAAAUAUCGGUUCCCGAUAUACGAUAACCGAAGUUAAACAACGUCGAGCCUGGUCAGUACCUAGAUGGGUGAACGCUUGGGAAUACCAGGUGCUGUAA